AAAAGCGAUCACAUGACAAAAAAACAGGGUCUUAGCUAGAGAGCCGUGUUGGCCGUGUUAUCGCGGCCAAAAGUGGAAAACACGGCUAGAUAUAAAAUGAACGCGGCUUCAUUAUUUGUAGAAGGCCGUGUAGGUUCAUAAAAUGGGGUGGUGCUACGGUACUUACAACAGACAGAAUUUCUUCCUAUUUAUAUCGUAAGAAAGUUUGUAAAAUCUACUGUUGUUGCAAUUGGCGAAAGUGAUCCGUGAUGUUUUAAUGUUUUGAUGGAUAAUGGGAACUGUAUGGUGUUAAAAUGGUUUUAAGUACCCCCAAGAGUUGCUGAAAUAACUUAAUAUUCUAAUGUCAGUGCGCAAUAGUAGCAUAUGCUCGCCUUGUAUUUGGUUGCAAAGCGUAGAACAACCACAGGCAUUGUCUGUUGUUGGCGAGCAUAACUAGAACCGUGAAUUUGGCUAUUCAAGAUAAUUGACAUGUGCACACCCUGGUCAUUAGAAACACGCCCAAGAUCUAAAAUCCUAGCUUAGACCCUGUAAACCUGUCAGAUGGAUUUAGUCAAAUCAAAUUAGUAUAAACCUUAAAAUGUAAAUCAUAUUACAGGAUAUAUUUAUACAAAUAUACAGAAAACUACAACAAAUACAAAAAGCACAAAAAAUAUAUGAAACAAGUUUGGAAUAAGGUAAGAAUUUAAAGUAGAGAAUUUAAAGACAAAUGGAGCUAAACAUAGGAAAAACUUUCAUUAAUGACAUAGGGGUGCACAGUGCCAAGUUUGGAAACAUUUUUAUAAAGUAGUCGUCAAUUUAUGGACACCUCCAUCCUAGCAGACUCUUUGCAGACAAUUGUAGACCAUUAUUGAGAUUCUAGGUUUCCGACAUAUUACCACCCUUUUCAGCAAAUUUCUGCACUUAAAUCUUGUUUUAGUCCAAGUGUUUUGUAAUAGGAUAUCAGGGUUUAGUAAUUGAAAAAUUAGCAAUAAACCCAUUAAAGCUACUGGGCAAGUAAAAUUGUCUGGUGUUAUAAACAGAGUAAGAUAAUAGAGUAGGACACAUUUGGGUGUAAUGCAGCUUAAUGGGUUAAGCUUCAUGGUUACUUAGGUUGACUGGUACUACAUUCAAGGUUAGACAUUUGCAGUAUCCUGAUAUCCACAGGAUACUAAAAUAUGGUUUUGGAUACCAAACUGUGAAUGAUGUGUAUACCAAGGGUGGGUUGUAGCGAAGUAGUUGUAGUUCGCUACUGUAGCGAACUACAAUUUUCAAGUAGCCAGUAGUUUUUGACUACUUUUUUAAAACUGUAGUUGUAGUUAUAGCGAACUACAUGUUGCCUAAAAGUAGCCAAGUAGUUGACUACUUUUCAAACAGCGAAUCGCUAUUCGCUACUUUUUAAAAUUGUUAGCAACCUGAUAGAAUAGCGCCAUGAUAUUGAAACACAGUUUGCUUAAAAUCAAUACUCAAUAGUCAAUUUGCACUCCUGAACACUGUAGUGCUUACAAAAAUGUUGCUUUGUGUUUACUGUUGCUACUCGUAAGUCGAUUUGUUAUAGAUUACAUUACAGCCUGAGUUAGUAGAUGCUCCAAAUAUAGUAAAACUAAAAAAUAUAGUGUAGCGAAAUAGCGAAAUAGUUCGCUACAUUUUUUAAGCAGUAGCUGUAGUCAGUAGCGAACUACCUUUGUUCAAAAGUAGCAGUAGUUGUAGCUGACUACAUAUUUCUGAAGUAGCUGUAGUUAUAGCGAACUACAAAAAUUUUGUAGUCAACCCACCCUUGGUGUAUACUGACUGGAUAUUACAAAAUUUCAAAUAUUAAGAUAAUGCUAAAUGUCUCCAGUCAGUCCAGUGAUCUCCCAAUAGCUUUGAAUACUAUCAGCCUGUCUUCUUGAAAAUAACCAGUCUUUGAUUUAUAACUUGGCGAUCCAGUUGUUGACUGUUGAGUCAUGUGUACCACUCUAUACUUUGAUUGUUCAGAGAUGCCAAAAUUUAUACUAACCAGUUUCCAGAAGUGGGAUAUUUGUGUUCUCAUUUGGGAUCAGGGGCGGAUCUACAGUGGGGUGCUAGGGGUGUGCACCCCACCUAGUGGGGUCCAGCGCCCUCCUGGAGAGGUCCAGCAUCACCCUAAAAAAUCUGCUUGACCAUACAUUUUCUGCUUUUCGAAUAGCAAUUAGUGGAACUUCUACUGUUAGCGCGUGUCGAUUUCUUGAAACGAUUUAAUUGAUUUGUGAGCUCACGAGGAAAUGCUCAGAAUGCUUUAGUUAAAGAUAGGGUAAGUCCUGUCUACGCAUGCGCACAUAUGAGUCUCCUGCCGUGAUAUAAACACUUUAUUCUUUAAUUAAUUAGGUUUUUAUUUCAUUUUAUGUUCUUGCAAAACCUGAUGGUUGUAUCUUGAUAAUUUAUUAUACUGUAGAAGAUGAAAAUAUAAAUAGUUGUCGAAUAAAGUUCAAUAUUUUGAAUACCAAAAUGUAAACAAAGGCUUUGUUUACAUACGGACUGUACCCUACCUUUAAAUAUCAUGGUUAAAUAUGUACUACCCAGGCUCUUUCCACUACACUCCUCGCUGUAUGUAAACAUGUCGAGGUUGCUAUACAGCCAUGCUCAUAGUUUCAAAUAUACUGUACUUUCACAAGCAAAUGUACUGUACUGUGCUACAGCAACUGUCCAGUCACGCAUAAGUGAUAAAAAGCCGAUAUAAACUUUAUAAACAGAAGGUAAUGUAAAACGUAACACGGCAAAGCCAAAGAUGCAGAUUCGGCCAUCUCAAAUAAUGGUAUUAAUGUUCGGAUAGUAGCAUUACAGAUUGCAGAGGAGAGUGGGCUGUAAGGCGCCCCUUGGCAAACCUGCCCCCCCCCCCCUGAAGACAGUUUGACUUAUUGUUUAAAAGUUGAAAUCUACUGUACAUAUGUAGGAAGUUUUAUAUUUUACUUCAUAGACAGGAAAUUUGUAUUUUUGGAUUUUGCUGAUAGGAAGAGAAAUAUAUUUUCUAGGAUUGCA